rfam:Alligator mississippiensis ScZkoYb_5, whole genome shotgun sequence.
CCAAAGGCUCUUUUCAGAGCCACACACAGAGUCAAGAAAGCGCUUG